GGACGAACGCUGGCGGCGUGCUUAACACAUGCAAGUUGAACGGUAUGACAUGGAAGCUUGCUGAAGUGUCAUAUAGUAGCGGACGGGUGAGUAAUGCAUGAGAAGCUGCCAUUGGGAGGGGGACAACAGUUGGAAACGGCUGCUAAUACCCCGUAUGCCGGAAGGUGAAAGGGAGCGAUCCGCCCGAUGAGGUGCUCAUGUCCUAUCAGCUGGUUGGUGGGGUAACGGCCUACCAAGGCGACGACGGGUAGCCGGCCUGAGAGGGUGAACGGCCACACUGGAACUGAGAUACGGUCCAGACUCCUACGGGAGGCAGCAGUGGGGAAUAUUGGGCAAUGGGGGAAACCCUGACCCAGCGACGCCGCGUGAGGGAAGAAGGCCUUAGGGUCGUAAACCUCUGUUGUGUGGGAAGAAAAGCGUGACGGUACCACACGAAGAAGUCCCGGCUAACUACGUGCCAGCAGCCGCGGUAAUACGUAGGGGACGAGCGUUGUCCGGAAUUACUGGGCGUAAAGGGCGCCGCAGGCUGUGCUGCAAGUCAGCUGUGAAAUGUCUGGGCUUAACCCGGGCAUGCGGUUGAGACUGCAGUGCUGGAGUGCUGUAGAGGCAAGUGGAAUUCCCAGUGUAGCGGUGAAAUGCGUAGAUAUUGGGAAGAACACCGGUGGCGAAGGCGACUUGCUGGGCAGCAACUGACGCUGAGGCGCGAAAGCCAGGGGAGCAAACGGGAUUAGAUACCCCGGUAGUCCUGGCCGUAAACGAUGAAUGCUAGGUGUGGGUGUAGAGAUACAUUCGUGCCGGAGUUAACGCGAUAAGCAUUCCGCCUGGGGAGUACGGUCGCAAGAUUGAAACUCAAAGGAAUUGACGGGGGCCCGCACAAGCGGUGGAGCACGUGGUUUAAUUCGAUGCAAA
rnacentral:rRNA from 1 species